GUCCACGCUGUAAACGUUGCAUACUCGGUCUUAGCGAUAUACAGUUAGGACCUAAGCGAAAGCAUUAAGUAUGCCACCUGGGGAGUACGGUCGCAAGAUUGAAACUCAAAGGAAUUGACGGGGGCCCGCACAAGCGGAGGAGCAUGUGGUUUAAUUCGAUGAUACGCGAGGAACCUUACCCGGGCUUGAAAGUUAGUGACGAAUGCCGAAAGGUGUUUUUCUAGCAAUAGACACGAAACUAGGUGCUGCAUGGCUGUCGU
rnacentral:rRNA from 1 species